rnacentral:tRNA from 1 species
GGUCCCGUAAUGUAACGGUUAUCACGUCGCCCUGUCACGGCGAAGAUCGCGGGUUCGAUUCCCGUCGGGACCG